rnacentral:rRNA from 1 species
GAUGAACGCUGGCGGUGUGCCUAAUACAUGCAAGUCGAGCGAACAGACGAGGAGCUUACUCCUCUGACGUUAGCGGCGGACGGGUGAGUAACACGUGGAUAACCUACCUAUAAGACUGGGAUAACUUCGGGAAACCGGAGCUAAUACCGGAUAACAUGUUGAACCGCAUGGUUCAACAGUGAAAGACGGUCUUGCUGUCACUUAUAGAUGGAUCCGCGUCGCAUUAGCUAGUUGGUAAGGUAACGGCUUACCAAGGCAACGAUGCGUAGCCGACCUGAGAGGGUGAUCGGCCACACUGGAACUGAGCCACGGUCCAGACUCCUACGGGAGGCAGCAGUAGGGAAUCUUCCGCAAUGGGCGAAAGCCUGACGGAGCAACGCCGCGUGAGUGAAGAAGGUCUUCGGAUCGUAAAACUCUGUUAUUAGGGAAGAACAAAUGUGUAAGUAACUAUGCACGUCUUGACGGUACCUAAUCAGAAAGCCACGGCUAACUACGUG